UACGAAGGGGCUAGCGUUGCUCGGAUUUACUGGGCGUAAAGGGCGCGUAGGCGGACAGUUAAGUUGGGGGUGAAAGCCCGGGGCUCAACCUCGGAAUUGCCUUCAAUACUGGCUGUCUUGAGUGCGGGAGAGGUGUGUGGAACUCCGAGUGUAGAGGUGAAAUUCGUAGAUAUUCGGAAGAACACCAGUGGCGAAGGCGGCUUACUGGUCCAUAACUGACGCUGAGGUGGCGAAA
rnacentral:rRNA from 1 species